rnacentral:rRNA from 1 species
AAUUUCCCCUAGUAACGGCGAGUGAAGCGGGAUGAGCUCAAGCUUAAAAUCUCUGUGUCAGUUUGGCAUGGCGAAUUGUAGUCUAUGGAGGCGCUGUCAGUGCGACUAUUCGGGGUAAGUUCCUUGGAAGAGGACAGCAUCGAGGGUGAUACUCCCGUAUGUACCUGUGUAGUUGCGCGUACGACACGUUUUCUUUGAGUCGCGUUGUUUGGGAAUGCAGCGCAAAGUAGGUGGUAAAUUCCAUCUAAAGCUAAAUAUUGGUGCGAGACCGAUAGCGAACAAGUACCGUGAGGGAAAGAUGAAAAGAACUUUGAAAAGAGAGUUAAAGAGUACCUGAAACUGCUGAAAGGGAACCGAAUCGUUUCCAGUGUCUAUAAUCUAUGGCAUAUUUCAUUGGCGCGUGGAUGUGUGUAGCGUUUUGGAAGUAGGUUUCUGCUCCUGGCGUUGCUUUGCGUUCGCUUGCUGGUGCCCUGUGCUGUAGUGGGACGUCAGAGUCAGUUCGUAUGUUGCGGGAAAUGGUUAUUGGGGAGGUAGGUCGCUUCGGUGGCUGUUAUAUCCUGGUAACUAGUCGUCGUGGCUGGGACUGAGGUGCCUACAAUGUGCUUUCGAGUCUGCGGGCCUCUCGUUUGGCUGUUUGCUUUGAUAGCUUGCUAUGUUAGUGAACGUGUCAGGCGAUUGAGACCUGUAGUAACUUGUGCCGUUCGGGAC